ACCUCUUCUAGAGCCCCCAUUUAAGGGCUGACUGCCAAUAGGGAAGGAUCUCUUCCUGGAGAUCACUUCUCUUGGAGUUUUUUCCUGGAAGCAUAUGGCUUGGCCUUCUGUGAUGGUGUAACUACAUCAGAAGAUAAAGAAAGCAUAGGCAGAUAAUAGAAAAACUACAUGGAUUAUCAUUCAAAGCACAGAGAACAAAGACAGUUACUGUAUCGGAUUUACUUGGCAAGAUUUUGGUAGUGGGGGCUACAGGGCUCCUCUGUGAGGAGAGGCUGGGACUGCCCAAUGCCAGCUGGUUCCAAGUGGCUACAGACGGUACUGGUGGCUGCACCUCAGGGCACAGCUGAGCCUUACAACCAAGGUGGUAGUGCCUCUGGGAAAAUGUGUUUAAGAAGUGAUUUAAAUAUGCUGCAGAGAAGCUGUGAGAGAGAAAAGUGAGAAAUCGAUGUGAGAGACACCAUGGUCAAAGAAGAAGGAGAGAGAUUUCCCAGGAACCAGAAUAGGGAUUCCUCUGCAGCCUAUGGAGAGAAACAUGGUGAAGUGGUUUGUCCCCCUACUGCCCAUAGAGGAUAGUGUUGAUGCACAUCUCCAGACUGCAGCCUGGGUGAACCCCACAGCACAGCAGGUGGGGAGCCCUGAAGGAAGUUGCAACCCAUGGAAAGCCCACACAGGAACAACUUCUUGGUGGGUGCUGUGACCUCAUGGAGAGAAACCCAUUCUGGAGAAGCUUUCCUGCACCCCAUGGCGUGGACCCGUUCUGGGGUGAUUCUUGAGAAAUUGCAUCCUGUGGGAAGGACCCACACUAGAGCAGUCUGUGAAGGAUUGCACAAUGCUGGAGCUGAACCCCACAGCAUCCAGCUUCCCUAAACACUUUUACUAAAGGUCUACUAUCUAUUACAGUAACAAACAACUGAAUUUUUUUCCUCAUUAGAAUAACUUAACUGUGAAACUUAUCUGCCAGGCACCGGUGUGAAGACUGCUGGUUUUAAAAAUAAAGUCUCACUCU
ensembl:lncRNA